ensembl:lncRNA
GGACCACCAUCGCCACCACAGUUAUCAGCAUCAUCACCAGAUCUCCACUUCAGGGUGCAAAGCUGAUGGACAAUUGGGAAGAUUUCAAGGACCGAAGGAGAAUCUAGAUAUUCUUAAAAGAUGAAAAGGAGGGAUAGAGCAUCGAGGACAAGAAGAGGUUAAUAAUGUAAGAAGAAUAUGGGGUGGGCCCAUAUUGUGUACUGGGCCAAGAAGCUCCCUUCCAUUCCCAAGGCUGCUGUGGAUGGAGAGCAGUUCUCAGAUCACCCAGCUAUACCCACUUGUUGGGACCUGGUGAGUGAUCUUGCUCAACUUCUUCCCAGUGGAAGAAGGUGAGAGUGAAAGAGGUCGAGUGACUCAGGUAGCAAGCCCAAACAGGGCCUACCCUUGUUAGUUUUAAGACAGCGCUUUUGCUUUGGGUUUUAUUGUUUUCAACUGCAUUUCUGAUUUUGAGAUUGUGUUCUAACCAGUUGGAAGAACUCAUGAAGAAUUCCACUUGUCGCCUUUACUGUUUUCCACAAAUGGCAACAUCUUCACUAAGAUAUUGAUUUUGGUGCCAUGAACCACACAUUUUCAUCAACUAAACAUCUUACCGUGCU